GGUUAAGCGACUAAGCGUACACGGUGGAUGCCCUGGCAGUCAGAGGCGAUGAAGGACGUGCUAAUCUGCGAUAAGCGUCGGUAAGGUGAUAUGAACCGUUAUAACCGGCGAUUUCCGAAUGGGGAAACCCAGUGUGUUUCGACACACUAUCAUUAACUGAAUCCAUAGGUUAAUGAGGCGAACCGGGGGAACUGAAACAUCUAAGUACCCCGAGGAAAAGAAAUCAACCGAGAUUCCCCCAGUAGCGGCGAGCGAACGGGGAGCAGCCCAGAGCCUGAAUCAGUGUGUGUGUUAGUGGAAGCGUCUGGAAAGGCGCGCGAUACAGGGUGACAGCCCCGUACACAAAAAUGCACAUGCUGUGAGCUCGAUGAGUAGGGCGGGACACGUGGUAUCCUGUCUGAAUAUGGGGGGACCAUCCUCCAAGGCUAAAUACUCCUGACUGACCGAUAGUGAACCAGUACCGUGAGGGAAAGGCGAAAAGAACCCCGGCGAGGGGAGUGAAAAAGAACCUGAAACCGUGUACGUACAAGCAGUGGGAGCACGCUUAGGCGUGUGACUGCGUACCUUUUGUAUAAUGGGUCAGCGACUUAUAUUCUGUAGCAAGGUUAACCGAAUAGGGGAGCCGAAGGGAAACCGAGUCUUAACUGGGCGUUAAGUUGCAGGGUAUAGACCCGAAACCCGGUGAUCUAGCCAUGGGCAGGUUGAAGGUUGGGUAACACUAACUGGAGGACCGAACCGACUAAUGUUGAAAAAUUAGCGGAUGACUUGUGGCUGGGGGUGAAAGGCCAAUCAAACCGGGAGAUAGCUGGUUCUCCCCGAAAGCUAUUUAGGUAGCGCCUCGUGAAUUCAUCUCCGGGGGUAGAGCACUGUUUCGGCAAGGGGGUCAUCCCGACUUACCAACCCGAUGCAAACUGCGAAUACCGGAGAAUGUUAUCACGGGAGACACACGGCGGGUGCUAACGUCCGUCGUGAAGAGGGAAACAACCCAGACCGCCAGCUAAGGUCCCAAAGUCAUGGUUAAGUGGGAAACGAUGUGGGAAGGCCCAGACAGCCAGGAUGUUGGCUUAGAAGCAGCCAUCAUUUAAAGAAAGCGUAAUAGCUCACUGGUCGAGUCGGCCUGCGCGGAAGAUGUAACGGGGCUAAACCAUGCACCGAAGCUGCGGCAGCGACGCUGAUGCGUUGUUGGGUAGGGGAGCGUUCUGUAAGCCUGCGAAGGUGUGCUGUGAGGCAUGCUGGAGGUAUCAGAAGUGCGAAUGCUGACAUAAGUAACGAUAAAGCGGGUGAAAAGCCCGCUCGCCGGAAGACCAAGGGUUCCUGUCCAACGUUAAUCGGGGCAGGGUGAGUCGACCCCUAAGGCGAGGCCGAAAGGCGUAGUCGAUGGGAAACAGGUUAAUAUUCCUGUACUUGGUAUUACUGCGAAGGGGGGACGGAGAAGGCUAUGUUGGCCGGGCGACGGUUGUCCCGGUUUAAGCGUGUAGGCUGGUUUUCCAGGCAAAUCCGGAAAAUCAAGGCUGAGGCGUGAUGACGAGGCACUACGGUGCUGAAGCAACAAAUGCCCUGCUUCCAGGAAAAGCCUCUAAGCAUCAGGUAACAUCAAAUCGUACCCCAAACCGACACAGGUGGUCAGGUAGAGAAUACCAAGGCGCUUGAGAGAACUCGGGUGAAGGAACUAGGCAAAAUGGUGCCGUAACUUCGGGAGAAGGCACGCUGAUAUGUAGGUGAAGUCCCUCGCGGAUGGAGCUGAAAUCAGUCGAAGAUACCAGCUGGCUGCAACUGUUUAUUAAAAACACAGCACUGUGCAAACACGAAAGUGGACGUAUACGGUGUGACGCCUGCCCGGUGCCGGAAGGUUAAUUGAUGGGGUUAGCCGCAAGGCGAAGCUCUUGAUCGAAGCCCCGGUAAACGGCGGCCGUAACUAUAACGGUCCUAAGGUAGCGAAAUUCCUUGUCGGGUAAGUUCCGACCUGCACGAAUGGCGUAAUGAUGGCCAGGCUGUCUCCACCCGAGACUCAGUGAAAUUGAACUCGCUGUGAAGAUGCAGUGUACCCGCGGCAAGACGGAAAGACCCCGUGAACCUUUACUAUAGCUUGACACUGAACAUUGAGCCUUGAUGUGUAGGAUAGGUGGGAGGCUUAGAAGUGUGGACGCCAGUCUGCAUGGAGCCGACCUUGAAAUACCACCCUUUAAUGUUUGAUGUUCUAACGUUGACCCGUAAUCCGGGUUGCGGACAGUGUCUGGUGGGUAGUUUGACUGGGGCGGUCUCCUCCUAAAGAGUAACGGAGGAGCACGAAGGUUGGCUAAUCCUGGUCGGACAUCAGGAGGUUAGUGCAAUGGCAUAAGCCAGCUUGACUGCGAGCGUGACGGCGCGAGCAGGUGCGAAAGCAGGUCAUAGUGAUCCGGUGGUUCUGAAUGGAAGGGCCAUCGCUCAACGGAUAAAAGGUACUCCGGGGAUAACAGGCUGAUACCGCCCAAGAGUUCAUAUCGACGGCGGUGUUUGGCACCUCGAUGUCGGCUCAUCACAUCCUGGGGCUGAAGUAGGUCCCAAGGGUAUGGCUGUUCGCCAUUUAAAGUGGUACGCGAGCUGGGUUUAGAACGUCGUGAGACAGUUCGGUCCCUAUCUGCCGUGGGCGCUGGAGAACUGAGGGGGGCUGCUCCUAGUACGAGAGGACCGGAGUGGACGCAUCACUGGUGUUCGGGUUGUCAUGCCAAUGGCACUGCCCGGUAGCUAAAUGCGGAAGAGAUAAGUGCUGAAAGCAUCUAAGCACGAAACUUGCCCCGAGAUGAGUUCUCCCUGACCCUUUAAGGGUCCUGAAGGAACGUUGAAGACGACGACGUUGAUAGGCCGGGUGUGUAAGCGCAGCGAUGCGUUGAGCUAACCGGUACUAAUGAACCGUGAGGCUUAACCUU
rnacentral:rRNA from 1 species